rnacentral:rRNA from 1 species
UACGUAGGGCGCAAGCGUUGUUCGGAGUUACUGGGCGUAAAGGGUGCGUAGGCGGUUGUUUAAGUUUGGUGUGAAAUCUCCCGGCUCAACUGGGAGGGUGCGCCGAAUACUGAAUGACUAGAGUGCGGGAGAGGAGAGUGGAAUUCCUGGUGUGAGCGGUGAAAUGCGUAGAUAUCGGAAGGAACACCUGUGGCGAAAGCGGCUCACUGGACCAUUACUGACGCUGAGGCACGAAAGCUAGGGGAGCAAACAGG